ACCGAUCAGGCUGUUGGUGAGGUAAUGGCCCACCAAACCUGUAACCGGUACGGGCUCUGAGAGGAGGAGCCCGGAGAUGGGUACUGAGACAAGGACCCAGGCCCUAUGGGGCGCAGCAGGCGCGAAACCUCUGCAAUAGGCGAAAGCCUGACAGGGUUAUUCUGAGUGACUUUCGCUAAGAAAGUCUUUUGACACCUCUAAAAAUGGUGUAGAAUAAGGGGUGGGCAAGUCUGGUGUCAGCCGCCGCGGUAAUACCAGCACCCCGAGUGGUCGGGACGAUUAUUGGGCCUAAAGCAUCCGUAGCCGGUUUUACAAGUCCUCCGUUAAAUCCAACUGCUUAACAGAUGGGCUGCGGAGGAUACUAUAAGACUAGGAGGCAGGAGAGGCAAGCGGUACUCAGUGGGUAGGGGUAAAAUCCGUUGAUCCAUUGAAGACCACCAGUGGCGAAGGCGGCUUGCCAGAAUGCGCUCGACGGUGAGGGAUGAAAGCUGGGGGAGCAAACCGGAUUAGAUACCCGGGUAGUCCCAGCUGUAAACGAUGCAGACUCGGUGAUGGACUAGCUUCAUGCUAGUCCAGUGCCGCAGGGAAGCCGUUAAGUCUGCCGCCUGGGUAGUACGGUCGCAAGACUGAAACUUAA
rnacentral:rRNA from 1 species